AACGAACGCUGGCGGCAGGCCUAACACAUGCAAGUCGAGCGAGGACUUCGGUUCUAGCGGCGGACGGGUGAGUAACGCGUGGGAAUGUGCCCUUCUCUACGGAAUAGCCCUGGGAAACUGGGAGUAAUACCGUAUACGCCCUAUUGGGGAAAGAUUUAUCGGAGAAGGAUCAGCCCGCGUUGGAUUAGGUAGUUGGUGGGGUAAUGGCCUACCAAGCCGACGAUCCAUAGCUGGUUUGAGAGGAUGAUCAGCCACACUGGGACUGAGACACGGCCCAGACUCCUACGGGAGGCAGCAGUGGGGAAUCUUAGACAAUGGGGGCAACCCUGAUCUAGCUAUGCCGCGUGAGUGAUGAAGGCCUUAGGGUUGUAAAGCUCUUUCAGCUGGGAAGAUAAUGACGGUACCAGCAGAAGAAGCCCCGGCUAACUCCGUG
rnacentral:rRNA from 1 species